rnacentral:Y_RNA from 1 species
GUUUGGUUGAAAGGUAAUGAGUUAUCUCAAUUGAUUGUUCACAGUCAGUUACAGAUCGAACUUCUUGUUCUGCUUUUUCUUCCCUUCUUACCACUGCACUUGACUAGUCUGUA